CCUCGAUUGCUACAACGUGGAUGUAACGUUCAUAUGAUAAAUGAGUUGACAAAUCUCAUCUUAUCCAAUCAUUAUAAUGGUGAGGAAACUAUCAUAGUGGAAAAUGGUCAACCUUUAAACAUUCGAAAUAUUGAUAGUGGAUAAAGUCACCGGCCGAACUUUGUAUACUGGUGAAAGCAUCAAUGAUCUCUACCUUAUUCCCAGUACUUCUCAUCUAUCCACAUAUACUAUGCAUUUCAAAAUUUUAAAUUUUCAUGCAAAUUAGGAGAAUUCAUCAUUAUGGCAUUUUCAUUUGGGUCAUCUUGCUCCAAGGAUUCUAAGUUCAAUUUUAUCUCGCUUUGGUCUAUCUAUAUCUUCUUCUCUUUCAACUUACAAUUGUAUUGGUUGUUUAAAAGCAAAAAUAACAAAAUUACCUUUUCCUAUGUCUUUGUCCACUUCUCUUACACCACCUGAACUUGUUCAUAGCGAUGUAUGGGGUCCUUCACCAAUUAUUUCUUCCAAUGGAAAUCGAUAUUAUGUUAGUUUCAUUGACAAUUUUAGCAAA